rnacentral:lncRNA from 1 species
AAGAUGGCUGCCCUGGAUGACUUGAAAGUAAGGUGGUCUUUGGCCCCCUGAAGGAAGUAAUGACUCACAAAAGUACAAGUAUAGUUCUGGAUCUGAAUGAGAACUGACUCCAUCAGGACUUGAGGUUUCUG